rnacentral:rRNA from 1 species
CUAAGAAUAUUCCGCAAUGGACGGAAGUCUGACGGAGCGACGCCGCGUGGAUGACGAAGGCCGAAAGGUUGUAAAGUUCUUUUGCUGGGGAAGAAUAACCGCAGGAGGGAAUGCCUGUGGGAUGACAAGAACCGGCGAAUAAGCCCCGGCCAACUACGUGCCAGCAGCCGCGGUAACACGUAGGGGGCGAGCGUUGUUCGGAAUUACUGGGCGUAAAGGGCAUGUAGGCGGCUUGGAAAGCCUGGCGUGAAAGUCUGCAGCUUAACUGCAGGGGUGCGCUGGGAACUGCUGAGCUUGAGUGACGGAGAGGGAGCUGGAAUUCCUGGUGUAGGGGUGAAAUCUGUAGAUAUCAGGGAAGAACACCGAUGGCGAAGGCAAGCUCCUGGCCGAUGACUGACGCUGAGGUGCGAAAGUGUGGGGAUCAAACAGGAUUAGAUACCCUGGUAGU